GACGAACGCUGGCGGCGUGCUUAACACAAGCAAGUCGAACGGUAAGGCCCUUCGGGGUACACGAGUGGCGAACGGGUGAGUAACACGUGGGUGAUCUGCCCUGCACUUCGGGAUAAGCCUGGGAAACUGGGUCUAAUACCGGAUAGGACCACUGCCUGCAUGGGUGGUGGUGGAAAGCUUUUGCGGUGUGGGAUGGGCCCGCGGCCUAUGAGCUUGUUGGUGGGGUGAUGGCCUACCAAGGCGACGACGGGUAGCCGGCCUGGGAGGGUGACCGGCCACACUGGGACUGAGAUACGGCCCAGACUCCUACGGGAGGCAGCAGUGGGGAAUAUUGCACAAUGGGCGCAAGCCUGAUGCAGCGACGCCGCGUGAGGGAUGACGGCCUUCGGGUUGUAAACCUCUUUCAGCACCGACGAAGCGCAAGUGACGGUAGGUGCAGAAGAAGGACCGGCCAACUACGUGCCAGCCGCCGCAGUAA
rnacentral:rRNA from 1 species